CAUGCAAGUCGAACGGAGCACCCUUGAUUGAGGUUUCGGCCAAAUGAUAGGAAUGCUUAGUGGCGGACUGGUGAGUAACGCGUGAGGAACCUGCCUUUCAGAGGGGGACAACAGUUGGAAACGACUGCUAAUACCGCAUGACGCAUUUUGAUCGCAUGGUCGAAAUGCCAAAGAUUUAUCGCUGAAAGAUGGCCUCGCGUCUGAUUAGCUAGUUGGCGGGGUAACGGCCCACCAAGGCGACGAUCAGUAGCCGGACUGAGAGGUUGACCGGCCACAUUGGGACUGAGAUACGGCCCAGACUCCUACGGGAGGCAGCAGUGGGGAAUAUUGGGCAAUGGGCGCAAGCCUGACCCAGCAACGCCGCGUGAAGGAAGAAGGCUUUCGGGUUGUAAACUUCUUUUAAGUGGGAAGAGUAGAAGACGGUACCACUUGAAUAAGCCACGGCUAACUACGUGCCAGCAGCCGCGGUAAUACGUAGGUGGCAAGCGUUGUCCGGAUUUACUGGGUGUAAAGGGCGUGCAGCCGGGCAUGCAAGUCAGAUGUGAAAUCUCAGGGCUUAACCCUGAAACUGCAUUUGAAACUGUAUGUCUUGAGUGCCGGAGAGGUAAUCGGAAUUCCUUGUGUAGCGGUGAAAUGCGUAGAUAUAAGGAAGAACACCAGUGGCGAAGGCGGAUUACUGGACGGUAACUGACGGUGAGGCGCGAAAGCGUAGGGAGCGAACAGGAUUAGAUACCCUGGUAGUCCACGCUGUAAACGAUGGAUACUAGGUGUGCGGGGACUGACCCCCUGCGUGCC
rnacentral:rRNA from 1 species